rnacentral:rRNA from 1 species
AGGCAGCAGGCGCGUAAAUUACCCACUCCCAGUUCGGGGAGGUAGUGACGAAAAAUACCAAUACAGGACUCAUAUCCGAGGCCCUGUAAUUGGAAUGAGUACACUUUAAAUCCUUUAACAAGGACCUAUUGGAGGGCAAGUCUGGUGCCAGCAGCCGCGGUAAUUCCAGCUCCAAUAGCGUAUAUUAAAGUUGUUGCGGUUAAAACGUUCGUAGUUGAAUUUGUGCUUCAUGCAGGUAGUACAACUAUAAUCGUAGUUUGUACAUUACCUUAUGCAUGUAAGCGUAUUAUCGGUGGAGUUCUAAUAUAUAAUAGUAAUUAUUAUUAUUAUAUAUACCUCCUAUUUGAAACCUACUUCAGUGCUCUUUAUCGAGUGUUGUUGUAGGCCGAUACAAUUACUUUGAACAAAUUAGAGUGCUUAAAGCAGGCUUAAAAUGCCUGAAUAUUUUGUGCAUGGAAUAAUGAAAUAAGACCUCUGUUCUACUUUCAUUGGUUUUUAGAUCAAGAGGUAAUGAUUAAUAGAAGCAGUUUGGGGCAU